UGAAGCACGAGCAACCCCCCAAACUAACCGCUGCAUCCUAGCAAGCUCCAUCGCCGGCGCGUUUCUCCGCCGCCGCCGCCGCUGGUCCUCGCCGUGGGGAAGGCGUCAGGUCAAUCUCCGUGACGAUUUCCUCUCUUGGUAAGACCAAUCGAGAGGAGAUAGCGGGAUCGGAAUCGUACCUAUCCUAUUUUUUCGUGUGUUUUCCAGUCUCUUAGGUCGUCGCCUUCCAACACCGAUGCCAAAUUCAUCCAGGGCGUCCAAGGGCUCCUCCUUGAGCUCUCUGCUCGCCUUUCUUCGGCUACUGUCGAUGGUGUAUCACAUUGUCCGACAAGGCAACAAGAGUGGACUUCGUCAAGGACUUGUGAGACCACAGAGAUAUCCAGGUUUAGACCCCUUCUAAUGGGCAAAAGGCCUACGUCACGCUUUGCUUCUUGAUUGUUUCAAGGAUUAUAACGGGGAUCAGUAAAACAUCAUUAGCCGUAUUUUCAAGAUUUACUUGCAAAUAUCUGAUGGCAGUAGCAUUAUCUUGUAUUGUUUUUGCAUGGUCAUAUCCAAAUGAUGUUGUUUAAUCAGGAAAUUAUCAAUUUCUUUUAA